rnacentral:misc_RNA from 1 species
UCUGGCUUAUAGCCAAGCGGUACAUUUAGAGUGCCCAACUAAAUGAUGGCAACUAAUGGCGAGGGUUGCGCUCGUUGCGGGACUUAACCCAACAUCUCACGACACGAGCCGACGACAGCCAUGCAGCACCUGUCCAACGACCCAUUGCUGGGAGGAAUCCAUCUCUGGAAACCGUCCGAAGGAUGUCAAGGGCUGGUAAGGUUCUUCGCGUUGCGUCGAAUUAAACCACAUGCUCCACCGCUUGUGCGGGCCCCCGUCAAUUCCUUUGAGUUUUAACCUUGCGGCCGUACUCCCCAGGCGGGAUGCUUAAUGCGUUAGCUGCGCCACCAACAAGCAUGCUUGCUGACGGCUAGCAUCCAUCGUUUACAGCGUGGACUAC